UUCAGCCGCUGACGAGUGGCGCACGGGUGAGUAACGCGUACAUAACCUGCCUUCAAGAGAGGGAUAGCCCUGGGAAACUGGGAUUAAUACCUCAUGGUAUUGCUAAGUCGCAUGGCUGUGCAAUUAAAGUUUCGGCGCUUGAAGAUGGAUGUGCGUGCCAUUAGCUAGUUGGUAAGGUAACGGCUUACCAAGGCAACGAUGGCUAGGGGGCGUGAGAGCGUGACCCCCCACACGGGUACUGAGACACGGACCCGACUCCCACGGGAGGCAGCAGUAAGGAAUAUUGGACAAUGGAGGCAACUCUGAUCCAGCCAUCCCGCGUGCAGGAUGACUGCCCUACGGGUUGUAAACUGCUUUUAUUUGGGAAGAAACCUGUUUAUUUACUGAACAGUUGACGGUACCUUAUGAAUAAGCACCGGCUAACUCCGUGCCAGCAGCCGCGGUAAUACGGAGGGUGCAAGCGUUAUCCGGAAUCACUGGGUUUAAAGGGAGCGUAGGCGGCAUGAUAAGUCAGAGGUGAAAGGCUGUAGCUUAACUAUGGAAUUACCUUUGAUACUGUUGUGCUUGAAUCGAGUUGAGGUCAGCAGAAUGUGACAUGUAGCGGUGAAAUGCAUAGAUAUGUCAUAGAAUACCAAUUGUGAAGACAGCUGGCUGGACUUGUAUUGACGCUGAGGCUCGAAAGCGUGGGGAGCAAACAGGAUUAGAUACCCUGGUAGUCCACGCCCUAAACGAUGUUUACUCGAUGUUGGCUUAUAAAGUCAGCGUCCAAGGGAAACCAUUAAGUAAACCACCUGGGGGAGUACGUCGGCAACGAUGAAACUUCAAAGGAAUUGAACGGGGGGUCCCGCACAAAGCGGUGGAGCAUGUGGUUUAAUUCGGAUGAUACGCGAGG
rnacentral:rRNA from 1 species